rnacentral:rRNA from 11 species
CUGAGAGGAUGAUCAGCCACACGGGGACUGAGACACGGCCCAGACUGCUACGGGAGGCAGCAGUGGGGAAUAUUGGACAAUGGGCGAAAGCCUGAUCCAGCCAUGCCGCGUGAGUGACGAAGGCCUUAGGGUUGUAAAGCUCUUUUGGCGGGGAAGAUAAUGACGGUACCCGCAGAAUAAGCUCCGGCUAACUUCGUGCCAGCAGCC